rnacentral:rRNA from 1 species
AGCGAACGCUGGCGGCAGGCCUAACACAUGCAAGUCGAACGAAGUCUUCGGACUUAGUGGCGGACGGGUGAGUAACACGUGGGAACGUGCCUUUAGGUUCGGAAUAACUCAGGGAAACUUGUGCUAAUACCGAAUGUGCCCUUCGGGGGAAAGAUUUAUCGCCUUUAGAGCGGCCCGCGUCUGAUUAGCUAGUUGGUGAGGUAAAGGCUCACCAAGGCGACGAUCAGUAGCUGGUCUGAGAGGAUGAUCAGCCACAUUGGGACUGAGACACGGCCCAAACUCCUACGGGAGGCAGCAAUGGGGAAUCUUGCGCAAUGGGCGAAAGCCUGACGCAGCCAUGCCGCGUGAAUGAUGAAGGUCUUAGGGUUGUAAAAUUCUUUCACCGGGGACGAUAAUGACGGUACCCGGAGAAGAAGCCCCGGCUAACUUCGUGCCAGCCGCCGCAGUAAGAC